rnacentral:snoRNA from 1 species
UGGACAGGGGCUGAGGAGGCUCGGGAACCACAGAUUGUGGUUAAUCCAGUUCUGUGCACCUGAGGUCCAUA